rnacentral:snRNA from 1 species
GUGCCCACUUUGGCGCACAUCUACUAAAAUUGGAACAAUACACAGAUAAGCAUGGCUCUCGUGCAAGGAUGACAUGCACGUUCGUUAAACGUUCUAUAUAUUU